AGUGAACGCUGGUGGUAGGCCUAACACAUGCAAGUCGAACGGCAGCACAGUAAGAGCUUGCUCUUACGGGUGGCGAGUGGCGGACGGGUGAGGAAUACAUCGGAAUCUACUUUUUCGUGGGGGAUAACGUAGGGAAACUUACGCUAAUACCGCAUACGACCUACGGGUGAAAGCAGGGGAUCUUCGGACCUUGCGCGAUUGAAUGAGUCGAUGUCGGAUUAGCUAGUUGGCGGGGUAAAGGCCCACCAAGGCGACGAUCCGUAGCUGGUCUGAGAGGAUGAUCAGCCACACUGGAACUGAGACACGGUCCAGACUCCUACGGGAGGCAGCAGUGAGGAAUAUUGGACAAUGGGCGCAAGCCUUAUCCAGCCAUACCGCGUGAGUGAAGAAGGCCUUCGGGUUGUAAAGCCCUUUUGUUGGGAAAGAAAAGCAGCAGAUUAAUACCCCGCUGUUCUGACGGUACCCAAAGAAUAAGCACCGGCUAACUUCGUG
rnacentral:rRNA from 1 species